UACGUAGGCACCAAGCGUUGUCCGGAUUUAUUGGGCGUAAAGAGCUCGUAGGCGGUUCGGUAAGUCGGGUGUGAAAACUCUGGGCUCAACCCAGAGCCGCCACCCGAUACUGCUGUGACUUGAGUGCGGUAGGGGAGCGGGGAAUUCCUGGUGUAGCGGUGAAAUGCGCAGAUAUCAGGAGGAACACCAGUGGCGAAGGCGCCGCUCUGGGCCGCGACUGACGCUGAGGAGCGAAAGCGUGGGUAGCAAACAGG
rnacentral:rRNA from 1 species